GUCGAGAAUCUUCCGCAAUGGGGGAAACCCUGACGGAGCGAUGCCGCGUGGAGGACGAAGGCCUUCGGGUCGUAAACUCCUGUAACCCGGGACGAAGUUCUGACGGUACCGGGGAAGUAAGCCACGGCUAACUACGUGCCAGCAGCCGCGGUAAUACGUAGGUGGCGAGCGUUAUUCGGAAUUACUGGGCGUAAAGGGUUCGUAGGGGGUCUGCCAAGUCCGGUGUGAAAGCCCGGGGCUCAACCCCGGAAGGGCACUGGAAACUGGCGGGCUUUGAGGGCAGGAGAGGGAAGCGGAAUUCCUGGUGUAGCGGUGGAAUGCGUAGAUAUCAGGAAGAACACCGAAGGCGAAGGCAGCUUCCUGGCCUGUACCUGACCCUGAGGAACGAAAGCUGGGGGAGCAAACAGGAUUAGAUACCCGAGUAGUCC
rnacentral:rRNA from 1 species